CCUACGGGAUGCAGCAGUGAGGAAUAUUGGUCAAUGGACGAGAGUCUGAACCAGCCAAGUAGCGUGAAGGAUGACUGCCCUAUGGGUUGUAAACUUCUUUUAUAUGGGAAUAAAAUGUUCCACGUGUGGGAUUUUGUAUGUACCAUAUGAAUAAGGAUCGGCUAACUCCGUGCCAGCAGCCGCGGUAAUACGGAGGAUCCGAGCGUUAUCCGGAUUUAUUGGGUUUAAAGGGAGCGUAGGUGGAUUGUUAAGUCAGUUGUGAAAGUUUGCGGCUCAACCGUAAAAUUGCAGUUGAAACUGGCAGUCUUGAGUACAGUAGAGGUGAGCGGAAUGCGUGGUGUAGCGGUGAAAUGCUUAGAUAUCACGAAGAACUCCGAUUGCGAAGGCAGUUCACUGGACUGCAACUGACACUGAGGCUCGAAAGUGUGGGUAUCAAACAGGAGUAGAUACCCGUGUAGUC
rnacentral:rRNA from 1 species